rnacentral:rRNA from 1 species
UAGACCUCAAAUCAGGUGGGACUACCCGCUGAACUUAA